ACCCUAUGAUCCUGCAAUUCUGCUUCUGGGUAUCUAUCCAAAGCACACGAAAACACCGUCUCGAAAAGAUAGGUGCACCCCCUGUUUGUUGCAGCGUGCUUUACUACGGCCAAGAUAGUAUAGAGAAAGGAAUAUUACUCCGCCAUAAAAAAUAAUGGAACCUUGCCAUUUGCAAUGGCAUGGAUGGACCUCGGGGGCGUCAUGUGGAAUGAAGUAAGUCAGACAGAGAAAAAGAUACCUUGUUGAUCAAACAUCACACUGCAUUAACACUGGGGUCUAUUUCUGGCCUUUCUGUCCUGUUUCCUUCGUGGAUUCUCAGGUCUCAGAUUCUCCGGUUCGGCGUGGAGGACACGAAGGAGGGUGAGGGAGGGACGUUGUCCUCCAGUUCACGGCUGGCGAGCAGAGAAGUGGGGCCAGUGUGGACACCCUGCCAUUCUCUAAUGGAGAUCUGCUUCGAGUGUUGUGUUUCUGAUGUUUCCGGUGACCUACAGGAGGGCGUGUGGCUGAACAACGAGGACAGACCGCUCUACACUCUGCGUCUUUGUAUAGACCCUGCUGGGCACGCUGUUUGACGUUCUAGAGACCCUUUGAUAGGAACUGUACAUCGGAGCGACGUUUCUGUGAAACGAAACAGAUGCACUGACCACACGGAACCGAUUCUGUUUACCUUGCCCGCUGUUAUGAGGACCGCGGCUUGCGAGGCAACGUAUAAACACGUUCUCUGCUCUGACCUUCUGUAUUAGAGAAGAGCUGUAUGGAAGGCUGAAGAUGUCCUGAGCAUCCGAGCACGAGAAUACCUCAGCAUCAGAGAUCAAGGAGAAGAGCCACGUUUCCAUCGGACUGGACGGUCCCCUGCUGUCCACCGGCCUCGGCAUCUCUGCUCUCCAGACAUUUAAAGACACUGUCAACGGCAUCCGGGAUUGGCAAAGGACAGGUGCAGGUCAGAUCUGGCCGGUGGCCUCCCUUACCCAACCUCUCGUGGCAAGAAUGGCUUUUACAUUUUUAUUAUUAUCAGUUUAUACAUUUUUUGAAGUUUAUUUUUGAGAGAGAGACAAAGA